rnacentral:rRNA from 1 species
UACGUAGGGUGCAAGCGUUAUCCGGAAUUAUUGGGCGUAAAGAGCUCGUAGGCGGUUUGUCGCGUCUGCUGUGAAAACUGGGGGCUCAACCCCCAGCCUGCAGUGGGUACGGGCAGACUAGAGUGCGGUAGGGGAGAUUGGAAUUCCUGGUGUAGCGGUGGAAUGCGCAGAUAUCAGGAGGAACACCGAUGGCGAAGGCGGGUCUCUGGGCCGGUACCGACGCUGAGGCGCGAAAGCUAGGGGAGCAAACAGG